AUGGGAAAUGGUUGGCAUUCUUUCUUCCUAAAGGCACGGGGAGAGGGGGGGGGAGAGAGAGAGAGACGUACACACACAGACACACACACGCAUCCCACAGCCAGGGAAGAGGCAGAGAGCAGGCAAGGCAGAGAGGGAGCGAGGGUAGAGAGAGAGAGAUCCCCAAAGCAGCCCUGCGCCUCUGAGCUGGAAUCUGCCAGGGUGCAGCCAACAUGUUGGUCCUCAGCUCACUUGUCUGGGGAUCUUACCUGCAGCUUUUCUUCUGCUUUGCUUUAUCUCAGACUGCGUACGUUGACAAUAUCUUCUCAGUUUCAGCAGAUCUCCCUUGUUUGGAACAGAAGAAACAGUUCAACCACAGAGCAUGCUGCCUCCUUGGCCCUCCUCCACCACCCCUGUUUCCACCACCGUACUUCAGGCAUGGCUGGAGCACUAAGCUGCUUGCCCUGGAUAUGA
rnacentral:lncRNA from 1 species